AUUUACAUAGCUUAUAAUUUAGAGUAUACCAGUGAAGUUGGUGGUGAAACUUAAUGUUUGUGAAUA
rnacentral:tRNA from 1 species